rnacentral:rRNA from 1 species
UACGUAGGGGGCUAGCGUUGUCCGGAAUUAUUGGGCGUAAAGAGCUUGUAGGCGGUUUGUCGCGUCUGCUGUGAAAUUUCGGGGCUCAACCCCGAACUUGCAGUGGGUACGGGCAGACUAGAGUGUGGUAGGGGAGACUGGAAUUCCUGGUGUAGCGGUGAAAUGCGCAGAUAUCAGGAGGAACACCGAUGGCGAAGGCAGGUCUCUGGGCCAUAACUGACGCUGAGAAGCGAAAGCAUGGGGAGCGAACAGG